rnacentral:rRNA from 1 species
GCUUACGGCCAUACCACCUUAGGGAAGACCGAUCUCGUCUGAUCUCGGAAGCUAAGCAGGGUCGGGCCUGGUUAGUACUUGGAUGGGUGACUGCCUGGGAAUACCAGGUGCUGUAAGCA